GACGAACGCUGGCGGCGUGCCUAACACAUGCAAGUCGAGCGAGUGGAUCUCCUUCGGGAGUGAAGCUAGCGGCGGACGGGUGAGUAACACGUGGGCAACCUGCCUCAUAGAGGGGAAUAGCCUUCCGAAAGGGAGAUUAAUACCGCAUAAGAUUGUAGCUUCGCAUGAAGUAGCAAUUAAAGGAUCAAUCCGCUAUGAGAUGGGCCCGCGGCGCAUUAGCUAGUUGGUGAGGUAAUGGCUCACCAAGGCGACGAUGCGUAGCCGACCUGAGAGGGUGAUCGGCCACAUUGGGACUGAGACACGGCCCAGACUCCUACGGGAGGCAGCAGUGGGGAAUAUUGCACAAUGGGGGAAACCCUGAUGCAGCAACGCCGCGUGAGUGAUGACGGCCUUCGGGUUGUAAAGCUCUGUCUUCAGGGACGAUAAUGACGGUACCUGAGGAGGAAGCCACGGCUAACUACGUGCCAGCCGCCGCGGUAAGAC
rnacentral:rRNA from 1 species